rnacentral:rRNA from 1 species
CUACGGGCGGCUGCAGUCGAGGAUCUUCGGCAAUGGGCGCAAGCCUGACCGAGCGACGCCGCGAGUGGGAUGAAGGCCCUCGGGUUGUAAACCACUGUCAGAGGGGAUGAAAUGCCAUGGGGUUCUCUUCAUGGUUUGACAUAUCCUCAGAGGAAGGACGGGCUAAGUUCGUGCCAGCAGCCGCGGUAAGACGAACCGUCCAAACGCUAUUCGGAAUCACUGGGCUUAGAGGGUGCGUAAGCUGCGCGGUGAAAGCCCUCGGCUUAACCGAGGAAUUGCGCUCAAAACUGCCGUGCUUGAGGGAGAUAGAGGUGAGCGGAACUUAGGGUGGAGCGGUGAAAUGCGUUGAUAUCCUAAGGAACACCUGGGGCGAAAGCGGCUCACUGGAUCUUUUCUGACGCUGAUGCACGAAAGCUAGGGUAGCGAACGGGAUUAGAUACCCGUGUAGUC